rnacentral:rRNA from 1 species
UACGUAGGGUGCAAGCGUUAAUCGGAAUUACUGGGCGUAAAGCGUGCGCAGGCGGUGAUGUAAGACAGGUGUGAAAUCCCCGGGCUCAACCUGGGAACUGCAUUUGUGACUGCAAGGCUGGAGUGCGGCAGAGGGGGAUGGAAUUCCGCGUGUAGCAGUGAAAUGCGUAGAUAUGCGGAGGAACACCGAUGGCGAAGGCAAUCCCCUGGGCCUGCACUGACGCUCAUGCACGAAAGCGUGGGGAGCAAACAGG